rnacentral:rRNA from 1 species
UUGAACGCUGGCGGAAUGCUUUACACAUGCAAGUCGAACGGCAGCGCGGGGGCAACCCUGGUGGCGAGUGGCGAACGGGUGAGUAAUACAUCGGAACGUGCCCAGCCGUGGGGGAUAGCGUAGCGAAAGCUACGCUAAUACCGCAUACGAACUGAGGUUGAAAGCGGGGGAUCGCAAGACCUCGCGCGAUUGGAGCGGCCGAUGGCAGAUUAGGUAGUUGGUGGGGUAAAGGCNCACCAAGCCGACGAUCUGUAGCUGGUCUGAGAGGACGACCAGCCACACUGGGACUGAGACACGGCCCAGACUCCUACGGGAGGCAGCAGUGGGGAAUUUUGGACAAUGGGCGCAAGCCUGAUCCAGCCAUUCCGCGUGCAGGAUGAAGGCCCUCGGGUUGUAAACUGCUUUUGUACGGAACGAAAAGGGCGCCGGUUAAUACCUGGCGCUGAUGACGGUACCGUAAGAAUAAGCACCGGCUAAC